ACCUGGCUGGCUCAGUCUGUAGAGUAUGGGACUCUUGAUCUCAGGGUUGUGAGUUCUAGCCCCACAUUGGGUA
rnacentral:tRNA from 1 species